AAUACGUUCCCGGGCCCGUUCGUUACACACCGCCCGUCAAGCCAUGGAAGCUGGGAGUACCUGAAGUGCGUAACCGCAAGGAGCGUCCUAGGGUAAAAUCGGUAACUGGGGCU
rnacentral:rRNA from 1 species